UACACAAAGAUAAACUCAAAAUGGAUUAAAGAGUUAAAUUUUGGACCAGAAACUGUAAAACUGUUAGAGGAAAUCAUAGGCAGAACACCCUAUGACAUCAAUGACUGCAAUAUCCUCUGUGAACUAUCUCCUAGAGCAACGGAAAUAAACAUAAACAAAUGGGAACUAAUUAAACUUAAAGAUUUUGCACAGCAAAGGAAACUACAAACAAAGUGAAAAGACAAAUCUCAGAAUAGGAGAAAACAGUAGCAAAUGAAACAAAUGACAAACGAUUAACUUCCAAAAUGUACAAGUAGCUCAUGCAACUCAAUAUCAGAAAAACAGCCAAUCAAAGAGUGGGUGGAAGUCCCAAACAGACAUUUCUCCAAAGAAGACAUACAGAUGGCUAACAAACACAUGAAAAGAUGCUCAACAUCACUCAUUAUUAGAGAAAUGCAAAUCAAAACUACAAU